UACGAAGGGGGCUAGCGUUGCUCGGAAUCACUGGGGCGUAAAGGGUGCGUAGGCGGGUCUUUUAAGUCAGGGGUGAAGUCCUGGAGCUCAACUCCAGAACUGCCUUUGAUACUGAAGAUCUUGAGUUCGGGAGAGGUGAGUGGAACUGCGAGUGUAGAGGUGAAAUUCGUAGAUAUUCGCAAGAACACCAGUGGCGAAGGCGGCUCACUGGCCCGAUACUGACGC
rnacentral:rRNA from 1 species